rnacentral:rRNA from 1 species
CUGGCUCAGGACGAACGCUGGCGGCGUGCUUAACACAUGCAAGUCGAGCGGUAAGGCCCUUCGGGGUACACGAGCGGCGAACGGGUGAGUAACACGUGGGUGAUCUGCCCUGCACUUCGGGAUAAGCCUGGGAAACUGGGUCUAAUACCGGAUAUGACCUCCGAUCGCAUGGUUGGUGGUGGAAAGAUUUAUCGGUGCAGGAUGGGCCCGCGGCCUAUCAGCUUGUUGGUGGGGUAAUGGCCUACCAAGGCGACGACGGGUAGCCGACCUGAGAGGGUGACCGGCCACACUGGGACUGAGACACGGCCCAGACUCCUACGGGAGGCAGCAGUGGGGAAUAUUGCACAAUGGGCGAAAGCCUGAUGCAGCGACGCCGCGUGAGGGACGACGGCCUUCGGGUUGUAAACCUCUUUCAGCAGGGACGAAGCGCAAGUGACGGUACCUGCAGAAGAAGCACCGGCUAACUACGUGCCAGCAGCCGCGGUAAUACGUAGGGUGCAAGCGUUGUCCGGAAUUACUGGGCGUAAAGAGUUCGUAGGCGGUUUGUCACGUCGUUUGUGAAAACUCACAGCUCAACUGUGAGCCUGCAGGCGAUACGGGCAGACUUGAGUACUGCAGGGGAGACUGGAAUUCCUGGUGUAGCGGUGAAAUGCGCAGAUAUCAGGAGGAACACCGGUGGCGAAGGCGGGUCUCUGGGCAGUAACUGACGCUGAGGAACGAAAGCGUGGGUAGCGAACAGGAUUAGAUACC